UACAGAGGCUGCAAGCGCUAUUCGGAUUCACUGGGCGUAAAGGGUGCGCAGGCGGCCAAGUGUGUGAGGCGUGAAAGCCCGGGGCUUAACCCCGGAAUUGCACCUCAAACUACAUGGCUAGAGCAUUGGAGAGGGUAGCGGAAUUCACGGUGUAGCAGUGAAAUGCGUAGAUAUCGUGAGGAACACCAGAGGCGAAGGCGGCUACCUGGACAAUUGCUGACGCUCAGGCACGAAAGCGUGGGGAGCAAAAGGG
rnacentral:rRNA from 1 species